AAGACUUCCUGGCUGCUCGUGGAGAGGUAGUGAAAAAGGGUUGUGCUGAAACAUUAAGUUUCACACCCGAAGAUCUGGCGGGGAAGAACCUGGAAGAAAUUGGGGAGAAGUAGAAUCCAAAUUUUAGAUUUAGGGUGUGUUUGGAAAGCACUGUGUAAUUACUAGGCAGUGUAAAGAUGGCUAGAAUUGAAAGCUGAUUCUGUAAUAAAGUCGAGCAACCCAUCUUUAAGCUUAAAUUUCGUCUAUACUUCGAUUUAUAAGGAAUAGAAUGGAGAAUUUAUUGACUUUCAGUUUCAGUUCUAUGGUCAGGUGAUUGCUCUAUAUGUAGGAAGAUACUGUUACGAUUUUUGUGUUCAGCGGGAGGAGGAGAGGAAAGCACAUGGUUUUAAGUUUACAUAAGUACCAAAUGAUAUAUUUUUUUUUUCUUCAAAUGAGAUACUUUUAAAGUUACACAAAUGUCAUGGCAUAAUUUAGAUCGCAAGUUUUAAAUUUUUUUAUUUUUUCCCUUAACAUUAUGCUCAGUCUAGUAUUGCCAUAUUGAGUGAAGCAGAGGGAGAGUAUCAAAUGUCAUAUUUUUUUACUCUAUUUCUUAAUAAUCAUUUAUAUUAAAAACGAAUGGAAUUUAAAACAAGAUAAAAUAUUUACUAAAGCAAGUGAAAUAGGGAAGUAGUAGUUGAAAAGUUUAAAAUUUUAUAUGGUAGAAAAAAUUUAAUCUCAAUAUUCUAAUGAGCUCUAAGCUAAGUGACCUUGGUGUAUGCGCGAUUAGGAAGGUCCGUCAUGAUCUUAUCAUAUUAAAGACGGAGGAAGUGAUUUUUAACUAAUGUCAAUCUUCUACAUAAAUUAUGGCACACUUUCUAUGUGUCCCCGGUCUACCAGCUAAACAGCUUAGCUUAGAGCACAGCGUGUUUGCUAUCACAUUGGCUGGCUGGUGCAUUGGCCAUUACUUCUACAUUUUUCACUUCACCUAAUAAAGGGCUUCAAUUUACUUCACCAAAAGUUUAAAUUAGCCACAAAAGUUGUACUGAUUGGCGGUUAAGGACAAAAAUCUAUAAUAACCUUAAUCCAGUUCCGGCUACCGGGGAAGCUGCUAAAACAAUUGCUUUAAACUCCCAAGAAUUGAAGAGCCCCAAAAUUUUCAAUAUAUAUAACAUAUUAAAUUAUUAAUAAAAGAUACUAGAUUUUAUACUUUUUUCUGUAAUGUGAUAAAUGUUAUUCAAAUAAAUGAAUAUAUGCAAUUUGAUGACGAUUUUGAUAUCGAAGAACAAAGUCUCUUAUAGUAUCUUUUAGAAUUGAUUAUUUCUUAUAAAGAACUGAUUGAGCCAUUUGUCACUUCAAAAUAGACUUGAACAAUGUAUGCAAAUUAUACUCACAUCUAUCUAAUAAUGCAAAUUCGAGAUUUUUAAAUUGUGAGAAUUUAUAAAAAUAUUAUCUUAAUCGUCAAUGUAUGUUUCUCAAAAAAAAAAUUUAUCUAAGCUUUAGUGAGUCAAGUUACCAAAUAUUUGCAAUGGUGAGAACUGGUAGGUAAAUGAAUGAAUAACCAAUAUACGUACAAGAUGGUUGGUAUACUAUCCAUACAAAAAUAAAUAUAAAAAUAAUAUAUUAAAUUUCAUUAAAUAAAUUUAAGGCGUCAAUACUUAUUGGCGUUUGACUUUAGGCCACCAAUAUUGUCGAGUUGCUCCUGCCUUCGUCUUGACCCCAAAUUCCUCAAACUGAAUAUACUGAAUCACCCACCCUGCUACUAUUCUCCAUGGAAUUGACGACGAUACCUCCAAACUCCUUAUUCCAAUAGACUGUUUUAAAGAUUUUCUUUUGGAUCUUUUCGUUUUCUUCUUUCUUGGUAAUUUCUUGGAACGAUGCCGGUGAAUGAUGUGCUUGAGUAUCCAAAAGAAUAAUUGAAACCAACUCGAAAUUUUCUUGGAGGGAUUUUAUUGGUGAUGUGAAGCAAUUGGUUAUCGACCCACAAGAUUAGCUCAUGGAAUGGAAUAGAAACCAUUGUUUCCUAAGUGCACCAUUGCUUAUUUAUUAGUACUAGCUUUUUACAAAUAGGUUCUUGUUUG
rnacentral:lncRNA from 1 species